GAAAUGCGAUAAGUAAUGUGAAUUGCAGAAUUCAGUGAAUCAUCGAAUCUUUGAACGCACCUUGCGCUCCUUGGUAUUCCUUGGAGCAUGCCUGUUUGAGUAUCAUGAAAUCUUCAAAGUAAAUCUUUUGUUAACUCAAUUGGUUUCUACUUUGGUAUUGGAGGUCUUUGCAGCUUCACACCUGCUCCUCUUUGUUCAUUAGCUGGAUCUCAGUGUUAUGCUUGGUUCCACUCGGCGUGAUAAGUUAUCUAUCGCUGAGGACACUGUAAAAGGUGGCCAAGGUAAAUGCAGAUGAACCGCUUCUAAUAGUCCAUUGACUUGGACAAUACUUUUAUGAUCUGAUCUCAAAUCAGGUAGGACUACCCGCUGAACUUAAGA
rnacentral:misc_RNA from 1 species